rnacentral:sRNA from 2 species
ACCUGAUAGUUGCCUAAUCCUUAAAUAAUCUAAGGAACGGGGGAUGCAUCUUUUCUUGGGGUUAAUCAGCUUUAAUUUAAAGCAGUAGGGAUACCACUCAUCCCGAACCCGUCAGCUAACCUCGUAGGCAUUGAGAGGAGGAAAU